GAUGAAGAACGUAGCGAAAUGCGAUAAGUAAUGUGAAUUGCAGAAUUCAGUGAAUCAUCGAAUCUUUGAACGCACAUUGCGCCCCUUGGUAUUCCGAGGGGCAUGCCUGUUCGUGCGUCAUUUCAACCCCUCAAGCUUAGCUUGGUGUUGGGCUGCGCCAGCGUUGCUGGCGGGCCUUAAAAUCAGUGGCGGUGCCGUUUGGGCUCCAAGCGUAGUAGCAUCUCUCGCUCUGGAGACCCGGCGGUUGCUUGCCAGACAAUCACUAAAAAAACAAAAGGUUUGACCUCGGAUCAGGUAGGGAUACCCGCUGAACUUAAGCAUAUCAAUAAGCGGAGGA
rnacentral:misc_RNA from 1 species